rnacentral:rRNA from 1 species
UUUUAUGAGAGUUUGAUCCUGGCUCAGGACGAACGCUGGCGGCGUGCCUAAUACAUGCAAGUCGAACGCUUCUUUUUCCACCGGAGCUUGCUCCACCGGAAAAAGAGGAGUGGCGAACGGGUGAGUAACACGUGGGUAACCUGCCCAUCAGAAGGGGAUAACACUUGGAAACAGGU